rnacentral:tRNA from 1 species
GGGCUAGUGGCGGAACCGGUAUACGCGCAACACUUAAAAUGUUGUCCCGAUUCGGGAUGUGGGUUCGAGUCCCACCUAGCCCACAA